rnacentral:rRNA from 1 species
CUUAAUUUAUUUAUUUUAAUAUUAAUUUAUAUGUGAAUUUAUGUGUAAAUUAUUUUUCUAAAUGAGAUAUAAACAAAAAUUGAAACAGUAAAUAGUUUUAUUGAUAUUAAAUUAUUUUAGAUUUAGUAAAUAUUGAGAAAAUUUGGUAAAGAUUGUGCCAGCAUCCGCGGUUAUACAAUAAAAUUAAGUAAAUAUUAUAGGCUUUUUAAUAAUUAGUAUAAGUUGAAUUACAAAAUUUAGAAAUUUUAAGGUGAAAUAUUUAAAAUAUUUAAGUUUAGUAUAAAAAUAAUGAGUAUGAUUUAUGAAGUUGAAAAUAUAAACUAGGAUUAGAUACCCUAUUAUUUUUAAAGUGAAGUUUUCAAGCUGGAGUAUUAGUAGAUAUGUUCUUAAAACUUAAAGAAUUUGGCGGUAUUAUUAUCUAUUUAGAGGAAUUUGUUGAGUAAUUGAUAAUCCACAAUUAAUCUUACUUAUAUUAUUUCUUGUAUAUCGCUGUUUAAGAAAAUAUUUUUAGGUGAUUUUCUUAAUAUAAUAAUAAGUAAUAUUUCAAGUCAAGGUGCAGUAAUGUAUAAGUUAAACAAUGGAUUACAAUAAAUUAUAUUUAUUAUGGAUUGUUGAUGUGAAUUAAUUUGAAAGUGGAUUUAAUAGUAAUUUUAUGAAGAUUAUUAAAAUGAUUAGUAGAUCUAUAAUAUGUACACAUCGCCCGUCACUCUCACUUUAAGGUGAGAUAAGUCGUAACAAAGUAGAUGUACCGGAAGGUGUACCUAGAAUAAGAGAUACUUAUG